UGAGGAAUAUUGCUCAAUGGGCGAAAGCCUGAAGCAGCAACGCCGCGUGCGCGAUGAAGGUCUUCGGAUCGUAAAGCGCUUUUGAGAGGGACGAGAUAGGACGGUACCUCUUGAAUAAGUCACGGCUAACUACGUGCCAGCAGCCGCGGUAAAACGUAGGUGGCAAGCGUUAUCCGGAUUCACUGGGCGUAAAGCGCGUGCAGGUGGAUUCGUAAGUUGGACGUUAAAUCUUUCGGCCUAACCGGGAGGUGUCGUUCAAUACUGCGGGGCUUGAGGGUAGAAGAGGGGGGUGGAAUUGCCGGUGUAGUGGUGAAAUGCGUAGAUAUCGGCAGGAACACCCGUGGCGAAGGCGGGUUGCAGGGCCGACACUGACGCUGAUGCGCGAAAGCCAGGGGAGCAAACG
rnacentral:rRNA from 1 species